GGCUGAUUUAUCAAGUGAAGAUGAUGUGCUCCAGUGGCUCGCAGCACAGGUCGAUGCAAGCAGAGAUUUUAAGAUAUGCAUCACCAGAGGUGACCUUGUUCAGAGAGGCUUCCUUCAGUGGCAAAGACAGAAGAAGGGCUCCCCAGCUAACAAACUCAUGAGACUUUCAUUGGAGAGGCUGAAAUUGAUACUGGUGCUUUAAGCAAAGAGUUUUUGACUGAAAUGAUGCAUGGUAUUGAGAGGUGACUGUUUGAGGGCUGUGGCAAAAAGGAAAAAUGUCCAGUCGACUCCAUUAGUGACCUGGAAAAUGGUUUCUACGGAACUGCAGGGGAAGUGUUUUCAGUCAGCCUUGCACAAGGAGGUCCACCACCCUGCUUCCUGAGAAAAUGGUGUUAUCGGUUUCUUGCAACUGGGAGCUUUGAUGAUCUGGAGCUAACAAAGGAAGACGUUCAGGAAUAUACUCUAUGAAUAGA